UGGCAACGCGGGUGGCGGGCGCCUGGUUCCCCGCGUGGCGAGCGGUAACUGGGCUGGAGGAGGCGCGGGUGCGUCCUUCCCAGCUUAGAUUCGUUGAUUCCAGGUAAAUCAGAGGAACAAGCCUCAGAAAUAGACAGGAAGCGCUGUGAUGCAGAAGCAGACCUGUUCCAGAAGUCCAGCCUGCGGUGCACUUAGCAGAGAAUAUAUUAUUUCCAAAAUCACCCUUUACUCAUGCUUAUGUUAUAGUAAGUUGUGUUUUUAAAAUAAAUAUUGGUGAUUUGUUCUUGAAAAU